rnacentral:rRNA from 1 species
AGAUUGAACGCUGGCGGCAGGCCUAACACAUGCAAGUCGAGCGGCAGCACGGGUACUUGUACCUGGUGGCGAGCGGCGGACGGGUGAGUAAUGCCUAGGAAUCUGCCUGAUAGUGGGGGAUAACGCUCGGAAACGGACGCUAAUACCGCAUACGUCCUACGGGAGAAAGCAGGGGACCUUCGGGCCUUGCGCUAUCAGAUGAGCCUAGGUCGGAUUAGCUAGUUGGUGGGGUAAUGGCUCACCAAGGCGACGAUCCGUAACUGGUCUGAGAGGAUGAUCAGUCACACUGGAACUGAGACACGGCCCAGACUCCUACGGGAGCAGCAGUGGGGAAUAUUGGACAAUGGGCGAAAGCCUGAUCCAGCCAUGCCGCGUGUGUGAAGAAGGUCUUCGGAUUGUAAAGCACUUUAAGUGGAGAAGGCAGUUACCUAAUACGUAUCUGUUUGACGUUACGACAGAAUAAGCACCGGCUAACUCUGUG